rnacentral:rRNA from 1 species
UAGAGGAAGUAAAAGUCGUAACAAGGUUUCCGUAGGUGAACCUGCGGAAGGAUCAUUAUCGAAUCUAAAUCUGAAGAGGUAGAGAGACUGUAGCUGGCUGGAUCUAGUCUUUCUAGUCUGGCAUGUGCACGUCCCCUCACCUUUUCUAUCUACACACACCUGUGCACCUAUUGUAGAUCCCCUCUUGAAAGAGAAGGGAACUAUGUUUUCAUCACAUCACACACAUUGUAUGUCCAGAAUGUAAAUUUGUCAAUCAUUGAUUUGAUUGAUGAUAAAACAUAUAUAAUACAACUUUCAGCAACGGAUCUCUUGGCUCUCGCAUCGAUGAAGAACGCAGCGAAUUGCGAUAAGUAAUGUGAAUUGCAGAUUUCCAGUGAAUCAUCGAAUCUUUGAACGCACCUUGCGCUCCUUGGUAUUCCGAGGAGCAUGCCUGUUUGAGUGUCAUCGAAUUCUCAACCAAUCUCUCUUGAUUAAUCUUUAAUCUUCAAGGGGAGCUAUGGCUUGGAGUUGGGAGUUGCUGGCAUGACUGUCAGCUCUCCUUAAAUGUAUUAGCAAUCGAGUUGGCUAGUCUUUGACGUGCACGGCCUCAGACGUGAUAAUGAUCGUCGUAGCUGGAGCGUCUUUUCUAGACUAUGCACAUAGAUAGCUUCUAAUCAGAAUGGGAAGCAAAGAGUAGAGCAAAUAGUCCACAUUGAUCAUGAUCUAUAAUCUAUCAAGCUUAGCUACUAGGCAGUCUCCUGAGGCUGGCGAACACAAGCAAGAAGGAUUAGAUUAGAUUAGGAUGAAAUGCUUGAUCCUUUUUUCUCUACUUUCAGAGACUUGACCUCAAAUCAGACACGGACUACCAGUGCUAUGUGAUGCGCUCUCGACGAGUCGAGUUGUUUGGGAAUGCAGCUCAAAAUGGGUGGUAAAUUCCAUCUAAAGCUAAAUACAGGCGAGAGACCGAUAGCGAACAAGUACCGUGAGGGAAAGAUGAAAAGAACUUUGGAAAGAGAGUUAAACAGUACGUGAAAUUGCUGAAAGGGAAACGCUUGAUGUCAGUCGCGUCUGCCAGGGAUCAACCUUGCUUUAUCGCUGGGUGCAUUUCUUGGUCGGACGGGUCAGCAUCAGUUUCGAUCGUCGUAGAAUGGUAGAGGGAAUGUGGCACCUCUCGGGGUGUGUUAUAGCCCUCGAUCAUAUGCGUCGGUGGGGACUGAGGAACUCGGCACGACCUUCACUGGUCUGUGUCUAGGAUGCUGGCAUAAUGGCCUUAAGCGACCCGUCUUGAAACACGGACCAAGGAGUCUAACAUGCCUGCGAGUGUUUGGGUGGAAAACUCGAGCGCGUAAUGAAAGUGAAAGUCGAGAUCUCUGUCAUGGAGAGCAUCGACGCCCGGACCCGAGUCCUUGACAAAGGAUCUGCGGUAGAGCAUGCAUGUUGGGACCCGAAAGAUGGUGAACUAUGCCUGAAUAGGGUGAAGCCAGAGGAAACUCUGGUGGAGGCU